AUUGAACGCUAGCGGGAUGCUUUACACAUGCAAGUCGAACGAGUGGCGGACGGGUGAGUAAUAUAUCAGAACGUGCCCAGUAUCCGUGUAUGACUGCUAUAAAGAGUGGAUACUAACGCAUACUGUUGUAGCGGCCGAUAACGGAUUAGCUAGUUGUGGGGGUAAAGGCUCACCAAGGCAACGAUCCGUAGCUGGUGUGAGAGGACGACCAUGCACAGUGGGACUGAACCAAGGCCCAGACUCCUACGUGAGGCAGCAGUGGGGAAUUGUGGACAAUGGGGGAAACCCUGAUUGAGCAAGCCCGAGUGUAUGAGAAGGCAUUCGGGUUGUAAAGUACUUUUGGCAGAGAAGCGGUAUCUGGAGAAUAAGCACCGGCUAACUACGUGCCAGCAGCCGCGGUAAUAC
rnacentral:rRNA from 1 species